rnacentral:rRNA from 1 species
CCUACGGGUGACUGCAGUGAGGAAUAUUGGUCAAUGGCCGGAAGGCUGAACCAGCCAUGCCGCGUGAAGGUCAGUGCCCUAUGGGCGUUAAACUUCUUUUGUGCGGGAGCAAUAAUGGUCACGUGUGGCCAGACGAGAGUACCGUACGAAUAAGCAUCGGCUAACUCCGUGCCAGCAGCCGCGGUAAUACGGGGGAUGCAAGCGUUAUCCGGAUUUAUUGGGUUUAAAGGGUGCGUAGGCUGUGAGGUAAGUCAGCGGUGAAAUGCCCCCGCUCAACGGGGUGAAGUGCCAUUGAUACUGCCUGGCUGGAAUGCGGAUGCCGUGGGAGGAAUGUGUGGUGUAGCGGUGAAAUGCAUAGAUAUCACACAGAACACCGAUUGCGAAGGCAUCUCACGAAGCCGCGAUUGACGCUGAUGCACGAAAGCGUGGGUAUCAAACAGGAUUAGAUACCCGAGUAGUC